rnacentral:rRNA from 1 species
UACGUAGGGGGCAAGCGUUGUCCGGAAUCAUUGGGCGUAAAGCGCGUGUAGGCGGCUUGGUGUGUCCGGUGUGAAAACUUGCGGCUCAACCGCAAGCCUGCACCGGAUACUGCCUCGCUCGAGUCCGGGAGGGGAGAGCGGAAUUCCUAGUGUAGCGGUGAAAUGCGCAGAUAUUAGGAAGAACACCGGUGGCGAAGGCGGCUCUCUGGAACGGUACUGACGCUGAGACGCGAAAGCGUGGGGAGCGAACAGG